UCGCUCAAUUAGAUCAAUUCCCAGGGGUGUUACAGCUCAGGCUUAGGAGAACAAAAAAUUCGAUUUCAAAGAGAAUAAUUAUUUAUGCACCAUGUAAAUUCUCCAUUAGACUCGUUAUGCCCAAUGGUAUUAUCGUCAUUAUUGAAAUCAUCAAUAAUUGUUUACAAAAGAUGUGCCAGUUGUGCGAUGAAUUGUGUUUGUUUUUGUGGAAAAUGAUUGGGUGCAGAACAACCAAUCAAAACUCAAAUUUAUGUAUUGACGUCAAUUAGUGAAAGCGUCUUAUAAACUAUCAUACGUUUCAUACCUCGUGCUAAACUUUUAUGUGCUUGGAUGAGAAAAGCUUCAGUAAUGUAAGUAUUAGAACAAUUUUUCGUAGUUGUUUUGUGACGAGUUGAGAAUGAUUUUCAUUCUUGUGUAAAUCACAACUAAAAACAUUUCAUUGAAGCUCGAUUCAUUUAAAACGAAGGUAACGCGCAAUUAGUCGGGUUUAUAGUUAGUCUGAUUUGUUGGAAACGAAAGAAUAUUUCACUAGUGUGUUGUCUACGUUAUUAUUACGAUGAAUUGAACAGGGUUAUCGUGAUAUGAAAAAGGUGUACUAACUGAAAUUUUGGGUGUGAAAAAUAAAAUGAAAUGUUGGUCAUUUCGUGAAUUAAUUAACUUAUUCGGUACGAAAUAAAGUUGGCCGAAUAAUUACAGGUGAUUGCCAUAAAUCUGCCUAAGACUGUAAAAGCUGAACUCUCUUGGGACACCUCAGAGGCAAGGAAAAAAGCACAAUUAGAGAAUUUAAUGUUACAAAAAAUAAAAGAUUCAAGAAAAAUAUAUAGACGCAUGAAGAUUUAUUAUGUUGGUGAAAAGAUAACAAAAAGCAA